rnacentral:rRNA from 1 species
CCCAAAGAUUUGGCGGUAUUUUAUUCUUUUUAGAGGAACCUGUCCUGUAAUUGAUAAUCCACGAUAGAAUUUACUUAUUUUUGUUUUCAUUUUGUAUACCUCCGUCAUCAGAGUAUCCUUUUAGGGAUUAAAUAUUCUUAAUAUAUAAAAUAUUAUAUGUCAGGUCAAGGUGCAAUUUAUAGAUAAGUAGAGAUGGGUUACAAUAAAUUUAUUUAGACGGAUUAUUAUUUUUAACAUUAAUAUGAAGGUGGAUUUAAAAGUAAAAUUAUCAUAUUUGUUGAUUUGACGUUAGCUCUAAAAUAUGCACACAUCGCCCGUCGCUCUUAUUUUAAAAUAAGAUAAGUCGUAACAUAGUAGGUGUACCGGAAGGUGUUCCU